GCUUGUCUCAAAGAUUAAGCCAUGCAUGUCUAAGUAUAAGCGACUAUACUGUGAAACUGCGAAUGGCUCAUUAAAUCAGUUAUGGUUUAUUUGAUGGUACCUACUACUUGGAUAACCGUAGUAAUUCUAGAGCUAAUACAUGCAGGAAGACCCGACUCACGAAGGGUUGUAUUUAUUAGAUGGAAACCAAUGCGGGGUAACCCGGAAUAUGGUGAUUCAUAAUAACUUUCGGAUCGAUUUAUCGAUGCAUCAUUCAAGUUUCUGCCCUAUCAGCUUUGGAUGGUAGGGUAUUGGCCUACCAUGGCUUUAACGGGUAACGGAGAAUUAGGGUUCGAUUCCGGAGAGGGAGCCUGAGAAAUGGCUACCACAUCCAAGGAAGGCAGCAGG
rnacentral:rRNA from 1 species